rnacentral:rRNA from 1 species
AUUGAACGCUGGCGGCAUGCCUAAUACAUGCAAGUCGAACGGUGGAGAGAAGCUCUUUCCCUUAUUUAACGGCGGACGAGUGAGUAAGUCCUACGAAUCUGCCCUGCCUUGGGGGGUGAGGUUCCUAAUGGAACGCUUAUACCGCAUACGUUCUCCGGGAGAGAGCAGGGGACCUUCGGUCCUUGCGCUAUUUGAUGAGCCUAGGUGGGAUUAGCUAGUUGGUUAGGUAAUGGCUCACCAAGGCGACGACCCGUAACUGGUCUGAGAGGAUGAUCGGUCACACUGGAACGGAGACACGGUCCAGACUCCUACGGGAGGCAGCAGUGGGGAAUAUUGGACAAUGGGGGAAAGCCUGAUCCAGCAAUGCCGCGUGUGUGAAGAAGGUCUUCGGAUUGUAAAGCACUUUAAGUUGGGAGGAAGGGCUGCUGGUUAAUACCCUGCAGUUUUGACGUUACCAACAGAAUAAGCACCGGCUAACUUCGUG